CUCUAAUUUCUUUUUUAUCAAAGUUUAGUUGAUUUAUAUUGUUGUGCCAGUUUCUGCUGUACAGCAAAGUUGACUCAGUCGUAUGUAUAUAUGUGUGGAUAUUCGUAUAUAUUUACACACACAUGCUUUUUUUUUAUAUAUAUGCUCUUCCAUCAAGGUCUAUCCCAGGAGACUGGAUACUGUUCCCUGCGCUGCACAGUAGGACCUUGUUGGAAAAGCCAGCUCUAGGUUAAUAUUUCAUUGGUGGAGACAAAAAAUAAAAUAGUGCUGUAACAAUAUAGGUCUCUACUUAAUUAAAUAGCAACUAUACGAAGGUGGCAGUAAGCUCAAGUUUUCAGAGAAAGCGUCUAAUGUACACCCUCAGGGUCCAAGUCAGCCUCAUGGAAAAGUUUCCUCGAAAAGGGACUCGAGGAGAAAUACAGUUGACUGGCUUGUGUGCGGCUGUGAGUGUUUGGGCGUUGACCUGAGAUACAGGAAACGUUGGGGGACAGCUCCUGGCGUGUGGAGGUUCGUCAUCAAAGCAGCACCUUUAGGAGAUGUGUCUCAUUUGUACCCGUGGAAAGGUCUGUGGGGACCUGUGUGAGUUUGUGGGGGUAGCUGGAAGGGACUUGGCCAGAAAUAGCAGGACCCCCACAACUAUGAGAUGAGUGAAGGAAGAGGGGCAGCCGCUUCUAGGGGUCCUCCAGGGACAGAUGGGUGAUGGAGGAAGGGCAGCGGCUUCUAGGGGGCCGCCAGGGGCCCAGGGAGCCAAGGGAGCAGGGAGGAGCCUGGCAGGAGCUGCCCAGGCUGCCGCAGGCCUACACGGAUGGCGGGUCACAAAGGAGCCAAAGCAGACAAGUUCAGGGUCCUGAACGAGGAGGGAGGGUUUCCAGUCAGGAGGGUGGGCAUCAGUCAGGUUCAAGGCUGUAGAGUGCAAGAACGUGGUGCCACGCAGCAGGAAAACACAGCGCCCACGUCAGAGCCCCUGGAGUGUCUGGCGGGCUGUGCGGACAGAGGGUGUGCCGGCCACGAGGGGGUGAGUGUCCAGGUGGCCCGAGGGCGGCACGUGGAGGUCGGCUGCUUUUUCCUAAGACCUGUUUUGCUCCUGCCUCGUGGAGGAACAGCCCAUGGUGCUCCUACGUGUGUUUGGCUCCGUGGACGACGGAAUAGUGAGCCCCGAGUGUUCUUCGUCAGCAGUUUUAAUGAGGAGAGACUCGCGAGGAUCUGCUUCCGCUUCACCCCAGAGCAGACCCGGAGGAAGAACGUUUUCUGCAUCCGGAAAAUUCUGCAACCCUGGGGAGGCCGCCUUCUUCGGAGCCCGCCCUCCCCAGCCGUUUACCAGGCUGCCUUCUUGAUGACAGACCGAACAUGUGAAACUUUGGGCGACAAGGAGGCUGAUCAUUAG
rnacentral:lncRNA from 9 species